UACGAAGGGGGCUAGCGUUGCUCGGAAUGACUGGGCGUAAAGGGCGCGUAGGCGGAUUGUACAGUCAGGCAUGAAAUUCCCGGGCUCAACCUGGGGGCUGCGCUUGAGACGUGCGAUCUUUGAGUGGGGAAGAGGGUCGUGGAAUUCCCAGUGUAGAGGUGAAAUUCGUAGAUAUUGGGAAGAACACCGGUGGCGAAGGCGGCGACCUGGUCCUUGACUGACGCUGAGGCGCGAAAGCGUGGGGAGCAAACAGG
rnacentral:rRNA from 1 species